UAUAUAUAUAGUGUGUGUGUGUGUGUGUAUAUAUACACACACACACACACACACACACACACACAUAUAUACAUAUA
rnacentral:miRNA from 1 species